rnacentral:rRNA from 1 species
GAUGAACGCUAGCUACAGGCUUAACACAUGCAAGUCGAGGGGAAACGAUAGAGAAAGCUUGCUUUUUCUAGGCGUCGACCGGCGCACAGGUGAGUAACGCGUAUCCAACCUGCCCAUCACUUGGGGAUAACCUUGCGAAAGUAAGACUAAUACCCAAUGACGUCUCUAGAAGACAUCUGAAAGAGAUUAAAGAUUUAUCGGUGACGGAUGGGGAUGCGUCUGAUUAGCUUGUUGGCGGGGUAACGGCCCACCAAGGCGACGAUCAGUAGGGGGUCUGAGAGGAAGGUCCCCCACAUGGGAACUGAGACACGAUCCAAACUCCUACGGGCGGCAGCAGUGAGGAAUAUUGGUCAAUGGGCGAGAGCCUGAACCAGCCCAGUAGCGUGCAGGAUGACGGCCCUAUGGGUCGUAAACUGCUUUUAUAAGGGAAUAAAGUGAGUCUCGUGAGACUUUUUGCAUGUACCUUAUGAAUAAGGACCGGCUAAUUCCGUGCCAGCCGCCGCCGUAA